AGAGUUUGAUCAUGGCUCAGGACGAACGCUGGCGGCGUGCUUAACACAUGCAAGUCGAACGAGAUCCAUUCAGUAGCAAUACUGAUGAAGAUCUAGUGGCGAACGGGUGCGUAACACGUGAGGAACUUGUCCCGGUCUCUGGGAUAACAGUUGGAAACGACUGCUAAUACCGGAUGACGUCGGAACUUCGCAUGGAGUACUGACGAAAGGGUUACUGGAUCGGGAGAGCCUCGCGGCCUAUCAGCUUGUUGGUGGGGUAACGGCCUACCAAGGCAUCGACGGGUAGCUGGUCUGAGAGGAUGAUCAGCCACACUGGGACUGAGACACGGCCCAGACUCCUACGGGAGGCAGCAGUGGGGAAUCUUGCACAAUGGGCGAAAGCCUGAUGCAGCAACGCCGCGUGCGGGAAGAAGGCCCUCGGGUUGUAAACCGUUUUCAGAAGGAACGAAACUGACGGUACUUUCAGAAGAAGGUGCGGCCAACUACGUGCCAGCAGCCGCGGUGACACGUAGGCACCAAGCGUUGUCCGGAUUUAUUGGGCGUAAAGAGCUCGUAGGCGGUUCAGUAAGUCGGGUGUGAAAACUUUGGGCUUAACCCAAAGCGUGCAUCCGAUACUGCUGUGACUUGAGUUCGGUAGGGGAGUGGGGAAUUCCUAGUGUAGCGGUGAAAUGCGCAGAUAUUAGGAGGAACACCGGUGGCGAAGGCGCCACUCUGGGCCGAAACUGACGCUGAGGAGCGAAAGCAUGGGUAGCAAACAGGAUUAGAUACCCUAGUAGUCC
rnacentral:rRNA from 1 species